rnacentral:rRNA from 1 species
AACGAACGUUAGCGGCGCGCCUAAGACAUGCAAGUCGAGCGAGAAAGGGCUUCGGCCCCGGUAAAGCGGCGCACGGGUGAGUAACACGUAGGUAAUCAACCCUCGAGUGGUGGACAACUCUCCGAAAGGAGAGCUAAUACAGCAUGACGUGGCGGUCUUCCGAGAUCGUCUCCAAAGCGGGCCUCUUCAUGAAAGCUCGCGCUCGAGGAUGAGCCUGCGGCCCAUCAGCUAGUUGGCGGGGUAACAGCCCACCAAGGCAUAGACGGGUAGCUGGUCUGAGAGGAUGAACAGCCACACUGGAACUGAGACACGGUCCAGACUCCUACGGGAGGCAGCAGUCGGGAAUCUUCCGCAAUGGGCGAAAGCCUGACGGAGCGACGCCGCGUGAGUGAUGAAGGCCUUCGGGUUGUAAAGCUCUGUGGGGAGGGAAGAAUAAGUUCAAGUGAAUAUCUUGAAUGAUGACGGUACCUCCUUAGCAAGCACCGGCUAACUCUGUGC